rnacentral:rRNA from 1 species
GACGAACGCUGGCGGCGUGCCUAAUACAUGCAAGUAGAACGCUGAAGAGAGGAGCUUGCUCUUCUUGGAUGAGUUGCGAACGGGUGAGUAACGCGUAGGUAACCUGCCUUGUAGCGGGGGAUAACUAUUGGAAACGAUAGCUAAUACCGCAUAACAAUGGAUGACACAUGUCAUUUAUUUGAAAGGGGCAAUUGCUCCACUACAAGAUGGACCUGCGUUGUAUUAGCUAGUAGGUGAGGUAACGGCUCACCUAGGCGACGAUACAUAGCCGACCUGAGAGGGUGAUCGGCCACACUGGGACUGAGACACGGCCCAGACUCCUACGGGAGGCAGCAGUAGGGAAUCUUCGGCAAUGGGGGCAACCCUGACCGAGCAACGCCGCGUGAGUGAAGAAGGUUUUCGGAUCGUNAAGCUCUGUUGUAAGUCAAGAACGAGUGUGAGAGUGGGAAGUUCACACUGUGACGGUAGCUUACCAGAAAGGGACGGCUAACUACGUGCCAGCAGCCGCGGNUAUACGUAGGUCCCGAGCGUUGUCCGGAUUUAUGGGCGUAAAGCGAGCGCAGCGGUUUGAUAGUCUGAAGUUAAGGCUGUGGCUCAACCAUAGUUCGCUUUGGAAACUGUCAAACUUGAGUGCAGAAGGGGAGAGUGGAAUUCCAUGUGUAGCGGUGAAAUGCGUAGAUAUAUGGAGGAACACCGGUGGCGAAAGCGGCUCUCUGGUCUGUAACUGACGCUGAGGCUCGAAAGCGUGGGGAGCGAACAGGAUUAGAUACCCUGGUAGUCCACGCCGUAAACGAUGAGUGCUAGGUGUUGGAUCCUUUCCGGGAUUCAGUGCCGCAGCUAACGCAUUAAGCACUCCGCCUGGGGAGUACGACCGCAAGGUUGAAACUCAAAGGAAUUGACGGGGGCCCGCACAAGCGGUGGAGCAUGUGGUUUAAUUCGAAGCAACGCGAAGAACCUUACCAGGUCUUGACAUCCCGAUGCUAUUUCUAGAGAUAGAAAGUUACUUCGGUACAUCGGUGACAGGUGGUGCAUGGUUGUCGUCAGCUCGUGUCGUGAGAUGUUGGGUUAAGUCCCGCAACGAGCGCAACCCCUAUUGUUAGUUGCCAUCAUUCAGUUGGGCACUCUAGCGAGACUGCCGGUAAUAAACCGGAGGAAGGUGGGGAUGACGUCAAAUCAUCAUGCCCCUUAUGACCUGGGCUACACACGUGCUACAAUGGUUGGUACAACGAGUUGCGAGUCGGUGACGGCAAGCUAAUCUCUUAAAGCCAAUCUCAGUUCGGAUUGUAGGCUGCAACUCGCCUACAUGAAGUCGGAAUCGCUAGUAAUCGCGGAUCAGCACGCCGCGGUGAAUACGUUCCCGGGCCU